UGGGUUUAAUUCGACGCAACGCGAAGAACUUACCAGGGCUUGACAUCCCCUGACCGCGUAUGAAAGUACGUUUUCACCCUCGGGUGACAGGGAGACAGGUGGUGCAUGGUUGUCGUCAGCUCGUGUCGUGAGAUGUUGGGUUAAGUCCCGCAACGAGCGCAACCCCUACGUUAGUUGCUAACGCGUGAAGGCGAGCACUCCAGACGAACUGCCGUUGACAAAACGGAGGAAGGUGGGAUGACGUCAAAUCAUCAUGCCCCUUAUGUUCUGGGCUACACACGUGCUACAAUGGCCGGUACAGACGGACGCAAAGCCGCGAGGUGGAGCAAAUCCUAAAAAGCCGGUCUCAGUUCGGAUUGCAGGCUGCAAUUCGCCUGCAUGAAGUCGGAAUCGCUAGUAAUCGCAGGCCAGCAUACUGCGGUCGAAUACGUUCCCGGGCCUU
rnacentral:rRNA from 1 species